rnacentral:rRNA from 1 species
UACAUACUGUGCGAACGUUAUUCGGAUUCACUGGGCUUAAAGGGUGUGUAGGCGGCUUGUUAAGUAGGGUGUGAAAGCCCCCAGCUCAACUGGGGAACUGCACUCUAUACUGGCGAGCUAGAGUGAGAUAGGGGUGUGUGGAACUGCCAGUGGAGCGGUGAAAUGUGUUGAUAUUGGCAGGAACGCCGGUGGCGAAAGCGACACACUGGGUCUCAACUGACGCUGAGACACGAAAGCCAGGGGAGCAAACGGG